rnacentral:rRNA from 1 species
CAGUCGCCGCGGGAAUACGAAGGGGGCUAGCGUUGUUCGGAUUUACUGGGCGUAAAGCGCACGUAGGCGGAUCGAUCAGUCAGGGGUGAAAUCCCAGAGCUCAACUCUGGAACUGCCUUUGAUACUGUCGAUCUGGAGUAUGGAAGAGGUGAGUGGAAUUCCGAGUGUAGAGGUGAAAUUCGUAGAUAUUCGGAGGAACACCAGUGGCGAAGGCGGCUCACUGGUCCAUUACUGACGCUGAGGUGCGAAAGCGUGGGGAGCAAACAGGAUUAGAUACCCCUGUAGUCCCUGUCUCUUAUAA